rnacentral:rRNA from 1 species
GUGUCAGCAGCCGCGGUAAUACAGAGGGUGCGAGCGUUAAUCGGAUUUACUGGGCGUAAAGCGCGCGUAGGUGGUUAAUUAAGUCAAAUGUGAAAUCCCCGAGCUUAACUUGGGAAUUGCAUUCGAUACUGGUUAGCUAGAGUAUGGGAGAGGAUGGUAGAAUUCCAGGUGUAGCGGUGAAAUGCGUAGAGAUCUGGAGGAAUACCGAUGGCGAAGGCAGCCAUCUGGCCUAAUACUGACACUGAGGUGCGAAAGCAUGGGGAGCAAACAGGAUUAGAAACCCCCGUAGUCC